UACGAAGGGUGCAAGCGUUACUCGGAAUUACUGGGCGUAAAGCGUGCGUAGGUGGUUCGUUAAGUCUGCCGUGAAAGCCCCGGGCUCAACCUGGGAAUGGCGGUGGAUACUGGCGGACUAGAGUGCGGCAGAGGGUGGUGGAAUUCCCGGUGUAGCAGUGAAAUGCGUAGAGAUCGGGAGGAACAUCUGUGGCGAAGGCGGCCACCUGGACCAGCACUGACACUGAGGCACGAAAGCGUGGGGAGCAAACAGG
rnacentral:rRNA from 1 species